AUUGUAGUCAGUUCUUGUUUAAUUUUCGAGCCGAAUUGUUGUGUGUCUGCGCUCGUGCGUUUAUUGUUCCGUUCGUAUAGUUUGUUAUUAUUGUAACACACUAAAAAAGCAGCAACAAAAACAAAAUAUUCACGUUUUUUUUUAAUAUUUCUUGUAAAGUGUGUGAUGUGAGCAAGUGUGUGCAGCAAUGUUUUGUUAAUUUUUCGUGGCGGUAGCUAAAUUAUUAAUAAAUAAUAAUUACAAAAGGCAAUUUAAGAAAAUUUAUACAAAAAAAAAGCAAAGAAAAUAAAUCAUGCAAAAUGCAAAAAGUGUUGUUUUUGUGUUGAAAUGAAAUAAAGUUUAAAACGAAAUUUAAGAAGCAGAAAAAAAAGAAAGUACGAAAAUGGUUAAGAGAAAAUAAGUGAAUGAAUAUGAUCAUUUCUUAGACAGCAACAACAAUAACAACGACGACCAACAUAAAAACAACAGCUGCAGAAACAACAACAACAGAGCAGCAGUAAAAACAAAAAUAAUAUAUAGAGAACAAAAACAAAUGCAGGCAGCAUAAAUUGCAGUUGAAGUGUUGUUGCAUUAUACAUUGAAGAAAUAAAAUUAAAUAAAUUAAAGUAAAUUAAUGAAAAAAAUCUAAAAAGAAAAUAAUUUAGUGGAAUUUUAGUGCUAUAAAUUAAUUACAAAUAUUAUUUAUACAAAAAAGCACUUGUUGCUAAAUUUGAAACAAAAUAAUACAAAAAAAAAAAAAAAAAUCGACGAAAAAGUUAAAUUUUUUUGUGUGCAACUAGAGUAAUUGGUUGUUGUUUGUUGUAAUGUGUUUGAAAAAUUUGUCCGUUCGUUAAUCAGUGAAGCGUUAAUUAAAACCGAAAUAAAACAAGUCUAGUUAAAUCUUUAAAUACAGGCGCAGCAGCAGGCGAAAGUUUUUUAACUUCUAUUUUGUUCGUUCGUGUGUUUGUAAAAUUGUUGCUGUAUUUAUUCGUUUGCAUACCAUAAACAUUUCCAAAGGCUUUAAUAUAAAGACUUUUUGAGGACAUUUCUGUUUAUGCAAGGAAAAUGUGCAAUUAAAGAUUACAACCUAAACUACUAACAGAAGGUAAGAAAUUAUUAAACUAUUUUUAUUGUUUUUUAAGUUUACCAUAAAAUUUUUUUAUAAAUCGACAAAAAAUCUUUUUAAUAUUCAAAACGCAAACUAUUUCUUAAUUAUCUAAUAGUAAAAAACCUACUUAACAUCUUUAAAUUUAAUUUAUAUCUUUUUCUAGUUAAUUUUAAAAAUAAUUUUUUUAAUGAAAAUUUUCAAAAUUAAAAAAAAAAAAUUUUAAAAUUUUAAA